rnacentral:lncRNA from 1 species
CUAAUCGAACGCUUUAGUGGACGGCUACCUGGUUAUAUUGGUUGUGGGAGCGAUAAGUUUUCUUUUACGCAUGUUGAGGAUGUGGUAUACGGACACAUUGCAGCUAUGCACAAAGGCAGAGCUGGUGAAAGAUACUUGCUAACGGGAGAAAAUGCAUCCUUUAAACAUUUGUUUGAUGCUGCUGCUGUUAUUACUAGAACAAGAAAACCUUGGUUUCACAUUCCACUAUGGGUGGUUGAGGCUUAUGGAUGGGUGUCGGUUUUCAUCUCUCGAAUUACAGGCAAACUUCCCCUUAUCAGUCCUCCGGUAUGCCCUAUAACUCCUGGCUCAAGAUUGUGCUAAUUGACUGUUGUUUUGUUAGUAAACCAUAAGUUACCUAAAAUUGUUAGAAAAUUAUUAUAAACCUCUGUAUACCAUCUAUAAGUUAAAGAAGAGCUUGUAGACUCUUAUAAAAUCGUCCUUGGAUUCUUACAGUUUGGAUAUAUAUGCUAACUUAUGUUCACACAAUACUCGGUUUUUAGUUAAGGAUCAUGAAGAAACUCAAGAAAGAACACAUGAGUUCAGUUUACUAUGUCUGGAAUUGUUCCUUUGUUUGUAGGACAUGCACAUGAUCCCAUGUUGUUGAUGUAUGUUGGAAUUGGAAAAACAAUUUAAUUUAUCUUAAGGGUAGAUUUGAUCUUCCAGUUUGUCCCCAUAUGAUAUCACAUUUAUGUUAAUGAUGAUGAUUAAUGUACUUAGAUCAUGGACACUUGUAUUGGAUCUAAAGCAUUUUCUGAGGGAAGCAAUUUAAUUUAUCUUAAGGGGCUAUGAGGUUUUUGAUUCGUGCCUCGCAGUAUAAACUUUUCUCUCGAUAAUCCCAGAAAGAAUUGACACCGAGAUUGUUAUUUUUCUGAUAUAUCAAUGAGAAAAGAUAAAAACAGACGUCGACUCUCUGUUCAGUUUUUGUAUGUCCAGAAAAUUCCUUUUUGACUUGCUUUGUUUUAAAUUGUUACUUGUAGUGAAUGUACCUGAUUCUUACCCACUUUUGUUGUGAUGUGUCGCAGACUGUGACUGUUCUGAGACACCAGUGGGCGUAUUCUUGUGAGAAAUCGAAGCAGGAGUUGGGAUAUAAAUUUAGAAGCUUGAGUGAAGGACUGGGUGAGGAACUUCCAUGGUUGAAGAGCUUAGGCUUGAUAAAAUAUUAAGAAGAUACACCUGUUUUUGUGUGCUGCAGUGGCUUUGCCAUCGCCAAAUUUCCAUGGGUACGUAAAGUGGUUCAACUUUGAUUGUUUCAGGGUUUGGGUUUUCUUUGUUUUCUCUGAAGAAGAAGCCCAGACUUUUUAACAUUAGUAAUAAGUUUUUUUUCUUAUUGUUUGAGGCUACAGCUAUUGGACAGUAACUUUCAAAUGAUUCCCACCCCUUACAUUCCAGACCCCUACAGAGUGACCCACUUGUGCAUCAUCAAUAAGGCAUCACCAUAGAUAAUUUAACCCACCCCUGUUAGAUUUUGUUGCCAGUGACAUGCUGCAUUGUUUUCUUGGUUAGUUUACCUCCUUUGCCAAAAGUUUAAUAUUCAAAACUCCCAGAUUACUGCUUUGACUGAGUAGACCUGCAUCUCACAAGCACAACUGAACCCAUCUAAGUGUUUAUCAUAUGCGAAGAAACAUGAUUUGAGCAAUAAUCUUUAUGUAACAUUGUAUCUCAUAGAACUUGAAUAGACACUGAAUUCUACAAAUCCUUUACAAGUUCUAAUUUUAUAUCAAACCUUUGGGAUACUUUGUUUGACAUUAAACUCAUAUUUUUUCUCUUGGUGCAGGUGGUGACAAUUGACAAUGGUGCUGCAGACAAUGAUGAAGAAUUUGAAGUUUCAGUAGUUUGAUGGAAAGAAGAGAGAUUGCCCACUCUUUGGGUAGUAGAAUCUUAAAGCUAAAUCCGGCUACCAACGGCAUUUCCAGUACUUGGAACUGUAAAAUCUUUCAUAGUUUCAUGUUCCAAGUAUUUCUAAUACUGUAUUUGUUGUACAAAGGCCUCAAAUAACAGAUGUUUUGUGAAUGCAUGUGUAACUGUCAGUCUCUCAGAGUUUGGAAAAUUUUAAAUGGCAACUGUAACCAGAAUAUUUGCGCACUGACUAGUGCAUUAAGUUUGGGUGCAUAGCCCUUGCCCCUUGGUUGUAAAAUAUUUUUGGAGCGCUUGCUAUCUUUCAAAAUCAGGCCUGAACAUACCACUUUUGCCUGUACAAUUGGGAAAAUUCAUUCUGAAGAAGUGAAGAGUGGUCUGUUCAAUCCUUGCAAAAUCACAUCACAGAUCUCUAUGCAAAAGACGUUGGAGGGUAUCAAUAUCAACAUCAAGAAUAUCUUGACUUUGGAAGUAAUGGGUCCCACCUACCUUUGUCUUCUCUUCUCCUUUGAAACUUAAAGAGUUAACUUCAUUCAGUCUCUGGUGUCUUGAAGAAUUUUGAAUGAAAGAGAGAAAUGGCAGACAAACCAAGUCGAGGUCUAGUGUUUUAUGGUGAUGGGUUGAUUGAAUUCGUGUCUGCAUCACAUAUACCCAUCUUCAUCAGUUCGCAUCUCGAGGAACCUGUGGCUUCUUGUCACUCCCUCCCUCAUUCUCCUCUUGCAGGUUACUCUUCUUUCUCACCCCUCCAUUUCUUCUUGUAAUAGAAACACAACAAUGUUUCAUCACUUCUAUGUUUUAGGAAUGUUGGGAUUCUUUUAGUUGAUGGCUUUAGUUUAUCAGAAAACCUUACCAAACAAACAACUGAACAACUUCUGAAUUCAAUUGGGUUAAGGUUAGAGGUUACUACUAUUCAUUAAAAAAGAAGAAUAUACUUUGCUAAUGGAUUUUCUUCCCGUGUAAUUGUUGCAUAAUGAUUUUUUUUUUUCUUCUUAAUUUUGCUUUUAUAUGUACAUCAAAUAUCCCUAUAGCUUAUAUUUUAUUUCUAGUAUUUAUUUGAACUUAAUAAUAUUGCAGAGAGUGAGGAUGAGAGAGUCGUUAUUGUGAGAUUCAUUACUACUGGACGCAUAUGACUCUUAUAUACUAACUGUGAGAUUCAUCUUACUGGAAAUUUUAUAAAGAUACAAUUAUUUUGACAUACGCGUUAGUUUGUUAUUGUGAGAUAUAUAUCUUAAAUAAAAAUAUUAAUAUGCUUCCUUUCAGAUUAGAAAACAUUCUUCUACAUCAGAUUGUCUUGAAAUGUCUUCAGUACCAACCAUAUCACUAUAUCAGAGAGAUAUCAUGACUUUAGACUACUUUAUUUAAGAUGAAUUCUAGCUGUACCUUUGUUAAUCCCUACUUUAAUAUGUACCUUAUUAUUUAAUAUGCUGUUGAGCCAAGUGAUCACUUUUUCCUGCCCAGCUUGAAUGAGACUCAUGAGGGCAGAGAAGUAGGGUCGGCCGCAUAAGAAUGGAAAGAAGGAUUGAUCCAUUUCCACAGCCCCUUAGCUAUAAAUGCACAUGGGAUAAUAGGUCAAAUCAUCUUGGACGUCUGUGUUCCAAAGAACAUUGAAGGUUGGGAUAGAGUAAAAUAAGUAAUGUCUUAAGAUUGCCCCUAUGACUUCUUUUGGCAUGAACUGUACAGGUAAUUAUUAUGCAAAUGUUCUAACUCAAUAUGAACUGGUGUCAUAACAUACGUAUAUGAAUAAGAGUUUCUCAUGACUGUAUCAAUUUGUAGAUGCUCACUCUAUGUACAAACUUGGACUGAUAUAUUUUUGUAACAAAUUUGGUACUCGUUGUGGUUAAUAUAAUGCAUAUGCAUUUCAUUUUUUUUUUAAAUAAACAGUGUAUAUUAAAGUUGAUUAAACCAAUGAAGUUUUGUACGCAACAAAGAGUUUCAAAAAUGUAGCGCUAGCUAGCUCUAAAAAUUCAACCUCACUUUCUCACGAUAGUAGUUAUGUUGAGUUUCCAGACUACCAACAUCUGGCUGUUGGGUCAAGUCUUAGAUGAGUAUUCUAGUUGAGAAGAACAGAAGAAGAACAAGUUUUGACAAGUUUAACAGAAAACUCAACUCUGUCUAUCCAUUAACUAGAAUUUUUAAGUUAGUCAAUAACCAGAUUUGGAUUGUUACCAGAAUACUAAAGUCUUAACUAAAAUUUUUAAGUCAGUCAACGACCAGAUUUGGACUGUUACCAGAAUACUGAAGUCUUAUGAAAAUUCUAAUCUUUGGAAGUAGAUGCAUUUUAAUUAUAAACCCUUGCACCAAGUACCCAAUUGACACUUGUCCUCUAAAAUUCUCUAUAUGUAUUCAGAUGUCUUCUCUGGCUUUUUUCUCGCAGCUGAAAACAAGAUCCACUGAAAUCAGACUUCUUCUACAGCUUGAACAAUGAAGGUAUUAGUCACCGGAGCUUCUGGUUACUUAGGAGGUAAAAUCUGUCACGCUUUACUAGCCCAAGGUCACACCGUACGAGCACUUGUAAGACGAACAAGUAACCUUGACUCACUACUUUCGGUCAUCAACAAAGCAGAAGAAGGAUCACUCGAUCUUGCUUAUGGAGAUAUUACUGAUUACAAAUCCCUUCUCUUUGCUUUCUCCGAUUGCCAAAUUAUCUUCCACGUGGCAGCUCUUGUUGAACCUUGGCUUCCUGAUCCUUCUAAAUUCAUUUCUGUAUGAAAGAAAUUUCUCUAAUUAAACCCUAAUUCCCCUAAUUAAUCCAUUUUUGGUAUUGAAAUUUAAAUUCAAAUUCCUACUGCAGGUAAAUGUUGAUGGACUUAAGAAUGUGUUGAAAGCAGUUAAAGAAACUAAAUCAGUUGAGAAGAUUAUCUACACAUCUUCUUUCUUUGCUCUUGGCUGCACUGAUGGUGGUUAUAUUGCAAAUGAAACACAAGUAUGUUUUGACUUAUUAAUUGGACAAUAGUUUUGAUUUGGGCGACUCGUAGUGUUUAUGUCUGUUUUUGGUGUAGGUACAUCAUGACAAGUACUUUUGCACGGAAUAUGAGAAGUCAAAAGCGAUUGCAGAUAAGAUUGCAAUGCAAGCGGCAUUGGAUGGAUUGCCGAUUGUUGUUGUUUACCCUGGUGUGAUUUAUGGUCCUGGGAAGGUUACGGCUGGAAAUGUGAUGGCUAAAAUGGUUAGAUUUCUUAGUGUUAAUUUAUCGUCUCUAAUUGUAAUGUCAAACUUGUUUUAUGCAUUGAUAUUCUGUCAUGAACAUAGAAGUAUAGAACAUGGAUCAGCUCAUCAGCUGAAUUAGGUUGGUGGGUGGUCUUCAUUUUAAAAUUUCUUCUUUUUCACAUGCACCACGUCAGAAGAAAAGUCAACACCUUUCAUUAGUACAAUAAUUAUGCUAUCUUAGUGACUAAAUAUAACUGGAUUAGAUAAUGCGAGUUGAAGAUAAGUACGGAAAAGAAGACAGGAGAGUUAUAUGAGAUUUAGUCAUGUAUGAAGAUGUGACCUAGAAGUAGAAUAUAUAUUAAAUGUACAACUGUAUAAGUACUAAGAAACAUUUGAAGUUGUAUGUGAUGCAUAUGCAUAAAGAUAGCAUGUGCAAGGCACAUGCCUCAUAGUUCCUGCAGAUUCCUAUAUGGAUUAGAACAUCCUUAGUAGUAGUUUCUAUUUACUUAGCUUUUUAGUGUAGUUAGGAUUAGGUUUAGGUUAUUAUAAAUAGGGGAUUGCAAACCCUAUUAAGUAGGUUUAGAUUGAAGAUUUGUUUAUGUCUUGAGACAUUAAAUUCGUUUUUGUGAAGAACCCUAGUUGGGUGUUCAAACCAUUUAUUUAAUUGGUGUUCUUAUUAUUGUGCUUCCGGCGAUAGUAUUACAUCAAAAUUGGUAUCAAGAGCUUGGUUUUUCUGGGUUUAGAAGAUAAAAACCUGAUUUUUAUUACAAGAGUCGCGUUCAUGUUGGUAAUUUGAAGAUGGGUUAUCGUAGAAGAGGUCAAAGAGAAUUUCCGUCUCCGCCGGAUCGCUGGAGUUUACAUGAAUCGAAGCGUUAUACCGAUUCUGAAUAUAAAGCUCCCAACUUUGAUCCUAGUCGCCGCUUUCCUCUUUCUAGAAGGUAUGAACCUCCCUCUUCCUCUCGUUCCCCUUCUCCCCCACGCAGGCAACGUCAUAGUUAUUAUGACAAUGGAUAUUAUUCCCACCACCAGCAGGACACGCACCCUCCUCGAUGUGGUUUUCAGCAACAAUAUGUUGCUUAUGGUGCUAAAUAUUCCCAUGGAAACCGUCCAAAGACUUAUGAUCACGAUGGUCUUCGUAGUCGCAAUUCUAAGGUUACUCCGUAUGGAGAAUACCCAUACUAUAUUGAAUCUGAAAUCGAUUCAAAGAGCGAUGCCUCCAUGACGUCACCAAGCAUACAAAAAGAUUUGAAGGAACUUUUAAAUUGCUUUACUAAAUUAAAAAGUCAAUUUGCGUCUUUUAAGGAAGAAUUUGUUGAAGAAGAGAAACGACUUGACAAAGAAGCGGAGAUUAAUUUCUUACUCAACAUGUUUGAAGAAGAAAAAUACGUCACUCGUACUCGAAUUGGUGGUUUACAAAGUUACAAUCUUGUUGAUUUUUUUUCCGUUUUUGGUGAUGAUACAUCUAGUUUUGUGUCUCUUGAGUUAGAAGUUGCAUGUGUGGAUCAAGUAGAAGAUUUGAUUGAAAAAUCUGCAAGGGAGAUAAAUAAGAAGUUCUAUUUGUUGCCCCAAGGAAACCUGGUUGUUGUCCAUGACAAUGGUAAAAAGGAUGAACGUUCUCGGAAUUUCGCUCAUCACUCCCAUGAAUCGAUGAAUUCCAUUGAUUCUGACCGACAAAUUGAUGAUUUUUAUCAUCCCUACAAAUUCCGUCCCAUAAAAGUAAUUGGUAAUUUGUUUGGUGGUUAUGUUGAUCCUUAUCUAUUCCAAGAUGAGAAUGGAUUUUCUCCAUGGAGGGACAAACACCUUCAAUUCUUAUUUCUUGACAUGCGGCUAUAUUGCUCCAAUCAAUUGGGUUGUCCUAAUGAUGCACCUAUGACAUUAAUGUCCAUCAUUCUUUCUGCGAGCAACUAUCUGGGGAAGAUUCAUGGUCGGAUUUUCUGCACCAACGUAAGGUUGAGGUUGAUGUACAAGAGUCGUUUUGAACUUUGGAGGAUGUUAAUACACAAACUCGAGGACGAUUUUUUUUCAAGUUGGGGGGAUUUGAUACAUAUGCAUAAAGAUAGCAUGUGCAAGGCACAUGCCUCAUAGUUCCUGCAGAUUCCUAUAUGGAUUAGAACAUCCCUGGUAGUAGUUUCUAUUUACUUAGCUUUCUAGUGUAGUUAGGAUUAGGUUUAGGUUAUUAUAAAUAGGGGAUUGCAAACCCUAUUAAGUAGGUUAGAUUGAAGAUUUGUUUAUGUCUUGAGACAUUAAAUUCGUUUUUGUGAAGAACCCUAGUUUUUGGGUGUUCAAACCAUUUAUUUAAUUGGUGUUCUUAUUAUUGUUUGCUUCCGCCGAUAGUAUUACAUCAGUAUGCCAUGAAUCAUAAUGUGACCAACUCACCAUAGAGAGACUUGAAUAGCAAAUUUAAGUUUAUGCCGUUAAAUGUGGCCCCAAAAGUUGGUGCAAGGAACCAACUCAACUGCUUGAAUAAGUACUGGAAGAGACUGAGAAAUAAUUAUUAAUAUAUUUUCAACUGCCAGUCUUGUUGGGGCUUGCAGAUUUUUGCAUUAAUAAGUAAAAUCUCAGAAAAAUUGCAUAAUCCAGUUUCAUUCCCCAUGAUGUGUUGUUUAAGAAGCUCUUGCAUUUCGCAUUGGCUUACAUUUUUAAUGCUGAUUUCUAAUGAUGAACAUUUUUUAUUUGUCACCUCAGCUAAUUGAACGCUUUAGUGGUCGGCUACCUGGUUAUAUUGGCAAUGGGAACGAUAAGUUCUCUUUCACGCAUGUUGAGGAUGUGGUAUGUGGACACAUUGCAGCUAUGCACAAAGGCAGAGCUGGUGAAAGAUACUUGUUAACGGGAGAAAAUGCAUCCUUUAAACAUUUGUUUGAUGCUGCCGCUGUUAUUACUAGAACAAGGAAACCUUGGUUUCACAUUCCACUAUGGGUGGUUGAGGCUUAUGGAUGGGUGUCGGUUUUCAUCUCUCGAAUUACAGGCA